UACAGAGGUCUCAAGCGUUGUUCGGAUUCAUUGGGCGUAAAGGGUGCGUAGGUGGCGCGCUAAGUCAGGUGUGAAAUCUCGGGGCUUAACUCCGAAACUGCAUUUGAUACUGGCGUGCUUGAGGACUGGAGAGGAGAGUGGAAUUCCUGGUGUAGCGGUGGAAUGCGCAGAUAUCAGGAAGAACACCCGUGGCGAAGGCGGCUCUCUGGAACGCAACUGACGCUGAGACGCGAAAGCGUGGGGAGCAAACAGG
rnacentral:rRNA from 1 species